CAAUCAACGUCAGUGAACGUCAACAGCUGCUGUCAACAGCCAAUCAACAAAAACCAAAACAAACAACAAGCAAAAUAAACAGAAUAAUUAAAUAAUAACAACAAGCUAAGCGUUUCGUCGGCAUUUCGACGCAGAAAGGAAGAUUCCUUCUUAUUCGAGGAAGUCAAAAUUCGAAACGCGUAUUUAAUUUACACUCUCGUAUAACCUUACAACUUCGUAAGGAACUGUGAACUCCUCAGUCGCGCAGUCCCAACCAAAGAAUACUCAUACUCUAAGGUAAUGGACGUACAAACUGCAGCUGCCGUUGCAAUGUGCACUCUAGCAUACUAUAACUACGUGAAAUGUCUCACCGCAGAGAGACGAAAAGACAAACAGAAAGAGAAUACAAUACUAAUCAACGACGAAGAUGGGGAUGAAGACGAACAACGAGAGACGGAGAGAAAUUUCACAGGGAAAAUUAUUAAAAAAAAGCAGAAAAAAGGAAGAUGUUGGAUGAUUCCUUUACACAGGGACAGAACUAGACAUACUAUGGAGCAACAAUUCCGUGAACUCAUGGGACAAUCUGGAGGAUUUGAAAAUUUUGUCCGUAUGUCAAUGGCCGAUUUUUGUCUUCUACUUUCUGAAAUAGAACCCAUGAUCUCCAAACAAGAUACUCGUUUUAGAGAAGCUAUACCUGCUAAAAUUCGUUUAGCAAUUACUUUAAGAUAUUUAGCAACUGGUGAGAGUUUUAGAAGUCUACACUUUUUAUUUAAAAUUUCAAGCUCGUUAAUUUCAAAAGUUGUGAUCAAUGUCUGCAAGGCUCUUAAUGAUGUUCUCAAGGAGGAAAUAAAGAUGCCGAGCAAUGAACAUCAGUGGUUAGAAGUUCAAAACGGAUUCAAGAAUAAUUUUCCACAUGCUAUAGGCGCAUUGGACGGAAAGCACAUUUUUAUAAAAUGUCCAAGUAACUCUGGCCACAGUUUAAUACUAUUAGCUUUAGUCGACAGCGACUAUAAUUUCAUGUAUGCCGACAUUUGUAGUGAAGGAAGACAAAGAGAUGGAGAUGUAUUCAAAAAUUUUUCACUGUGGAAAAAAAUUACAUCUAACAGUCUUAACCUUCCUGAACCACGACGAUUAUGCAGCACUGAAAAUGUCGAAGUCCCCUACUUUUUUUUGGCUAACGGAGCAUUUGCUUUACAUGACAAUGUAAUGAAACCAUAUCCUGGUUCUCAUGAUAUCGGUUCACCGCAAUUAAAUUUUAAUACACGAUUGUCAAGAUCUCGAGUAGUUUGCGAAAAUGUUUUUGGGAUUUUAGCAUCCAGGUUUCAAAUAUUUAAAUAUCCUAUUGAUUUACAUCUUGAAAAUGCUGCCAUUAUUACAAAGACAUGUGUUUUGUUGCAUAACUUUCUCAAAAAAAGUGAUAGUUCAUCUCACAUGUACAUGCCUCCCGGUAUUCUGGACGUAUAUGAUCACAGCGGAGUUUUAAUUCAACGCGGAACUUGGCGGGAAAGGAUGAACAGUAAACCUGCUAUGAGAACUAUAUCACAAAUUUCAAGCAAAUCAUCAACGUCUGCCCGUCAGUUAAGAGAUUAUUUAACAGAUUAUUUUUCUACCAGAAAUUAGGAACUGUUUAGUAUAGAACGCACCGCAUAAUAUUAGUUUGUGUCGUUUUGGUAAUGAAUGAUGAUAAUAAAUUAAUAAUUUAUUAAUGUUCAUAAUGUUUCUAUUGUGUUUAUAAAAAUAAACUCAUCGUGCUAA